AAUUGUUAGUGGCAGACGGGUGAGUAAUGCGUAGGAAUCUACCUAGUAGUAUGGAAUAGCCAUUAGAAAUGAUGGGUAAUACUGUAUAAUCCCUGCGGGGGAAAGAUUUAUCGCUAUUAGAUGAGCCUACGUUAGAUUAGCUAGUUGGUAAGGUAAUGGCUUACCAAGGCUAUGAUCUAUAGCUGGUCUGAGAGGACGAUCAGCCACACUGGAACUGAGAUACGGUCCAGACUCCUACGGGAGGCAGCAGUGGGGAAUAUUGGACAAUGGGCGAAAGCCUGAUCCAGCUAUGCCGCGUGAGUGAAGAAGGCCUUCGGGUUGUAAAACUCUUUCAAUAGGGAAGAUAAUGACGGUACCUAUAGAAG
rnacentral:rRNA from 1 species